AAAAGGGUGAGGACAGGGAGGGAUGUCCUCAUUGUAGAGGAAGAACUUGGCUUUCUGCCCAUCUUGUCUCCUUCUGUUCCAUGAAAAGGAACUCCCGUAGCUGCAGAUGAUUCUGUCUGCUGGGUUUCACCACCGCCUCCAUGUUCCUUACAGGUAGAGUCCUGCAUCACAUCGUCUCACAGGACUUUCCCUUCAAACCCAACUGACUUCUCUU